rnacentral:rRNA from 1 species
UUAAAUUGAAGAGUUUGAUCAUGGCUCAGAUUGAACGCUGGCGGCAGGCCUAACACAUGCAAGUCGAACGGUAACAGGAARCAGCUUGCUGYUUYGCUGACGAGUGGCGGACGGGUGAGUAAUGUCUGGGAAACUGCCUGAUGGAGGGGGAUAACUACUGGAAACGGUAGCUAAUACCGCAUAACGUCGCAAGACCAAAGAGGGGGACCUUCGGGCCUCUUGCCAUCGGAUGUGCCCAGAUGGGAUUAGCUAGUAGGUGGGGUAAAGGCUCACCUAGGCGACGAUCCCUAGCUGGUCUGAGAGGAUGACCAGCCACACUGGAACUGAGACACGGUCCAGACUCCUACGGGAGGCAGCAUGUGGGGAAUAUUGCACAAUGGGCUGCAAGCCUGAUGCAGCCAUGCCGGGUGUAUGAAGAAGGCCUUCGGGUUUGUAAAGUACUUUCAGCGGGGAGGAAGGGAGUAAAGUUAAUACCUUUGCUCAUUGACGUUACCCGCAGAAGAAGCACCGGCUAACUCCGUGCCAGCAGCCGCGGUAAUACGGAGGGUGCAAGCCGUUAAUCGGAAUUACCUGGGCGUAAAGCGCACGCAGGCUGGUUUGUUAAGUCAGAUGUGAAAUCCCCGGGCUCAACCUGGGAACUGGRUCUGAUACCUGGCAAGCUUGAGUCUCGUAGAGGGGGGUAGAAUUCCAGGUGUAGCGGUGAAAUGCGUAGAGAUCUGGAGGAAUACCGGUGGCGAAGGCGGCCCCCUGGACNAAGACUUGACGCUCAGGUGCGAAAGCGUGGGGGAGCAAACAGGAUUAAGAUACCCUGGUAGUCCACGCCGUAAACCGAUGUCGACUUGGAGGUUGUGCCCUUGAGGCGUNGCUUCCGGAGCUAACGCGUUAAGUCGACCGCCUGGGGAGUACGGCCGCAAGGUUAAAACUCAAAUGAAUUGACGGGGGCCCGCACAAGCGGUGGAGCAUGUGGUUUAAUUCGAUGCAACGCGAAGAACCUUACCUGGUCUUGACAUCCACGGAAGUUUUCAGAGAUGAGAAUGUGCCUUCGGGAACCGUGAGACAGGUGCUGCAUGGCUGUCGUCAGCUCGUGUUGUGAAAUGUUGGGUUAAGUCCCGCAACGAGCGCAACCCUUAUCCUUUGUUGCCAGCGGUCCGGCCGGGAACUCAAAGGAGACUGCCAGUGAUAAACUGGAGGAAGGUGGGGAUGACGUCAAGUCAUCAUGGCCCUUACGACCAGGGCUACACACGUGCUACAAUGGCGCAUACAAAGAGAAGCGACCUCGCGAGAGCAAGCGGACCUCAUAAAGUGCGUCGUAGUCGGAUUGGAGUCUGCAACUCGACUCCAUGAAGUCGGAAUCGCUAGUAAUCGUGGAUCAGAAUGCCACGGUGAAUACUUUCCCGGGCCUUGUACACACCGCCGUCACACCAUGGGAGUGGGUUGCAAAAGAAGUAGGUAGCUUAACCUUCGGGAGGGCGCUUACCACUUUGUGAUUCAUGACUGGGGUGAAGUCGUAACAAGGUAACCGUAGGGGAACCUGCGGUUGGAUCACCUCCUUA